rnacentral:rRNA from 1 species
UACGUAGGGGGCGAGCGUUGUUCGGAUUUACUGGGCGUAAAGAGCGCGCAGGCGGUCGAUCAAGUCGAGUGUGAAAGCCCCCGGCUCAACUGGGGAGGGUCAUUCGAUACUGAUCGACUCGAAGGCAGGAGAGGGUAGUGGAAUUCCCGGUGUAGUGGUGAAAUGCGUAGAUAUCGGGAGGAACACCAGUGGCGAAGGCGACUACCUGGCCUGUUCUUGACGCUGAGGCGCGAAAGCUAGGGGAGCAAACGGG